rfam:Deltaproteobacteria bacterium RIFCSPLOWO2_12_FTLL_60_19 rifcsplowo2_12_scaffold_372, whole genome shotgun sequence.
UAACCGGUUGAAGUCCGGUGCGGGGAAUUAUCGGUUCACCCCGUUAGCGAAGAUCCGGUUUUGAGAGGCGACUCUCAAGGCUAAGCGGAUCGAGAAAACUCCAGUACAAAGGGAAGGAGGUAAGAGAAAGGGCACGCAGAGCGGAGGAUCGCAAACUCACAGGCCGUACCAGCC